rnacentral:rRNA from 1 species
UACGUAGGGACCAAGCGUUGUUCGGAUUUACUGGGCGUAAAGGGCGCGUAGGCGGCGUGGUAAGUCACUUGUGAAAUCUCCGAGCUUAACUCGGAACGGUCAAGUGAUACUGCUGUGCUAGAGUACAGAAGGGGCAAUCGGAAUUCUUGGUGUAGCGGUGAAAUGCGUAGAUAUCAAGAGGAACACCUGAGGUGAAGACGGGUUGCUGGGCUGAUACUGACGCUGAGACGCGAAAGCGUGGGGAGCGAACGGG